rnacentral:rRNA from 1 species
AGUGAACGCUGGCGGUAGGCCUAACACAUGCAAGUCGAACGGCAGCACAGUAAGAGCUUGCUCUUACGGGUGGCGAGUGGCGGAUGGGUGAGGAAUGCAUCGGAAUCUACUUUUUCGUGGGGGAUUACGUAGGGAAACUUACGCUAAUACAGCAUACGACCUACGGGUGAAAGCAGGGGAUCUUCGGACCUUGCGCGAUUGAAUGAGCCGAUGUCGGAUUAGCUAGUUGGCGGGGUAAAGGCCCACCAAGGCGACGAUCCGUAGCUGGUCUGAGAGGAUGGUCAGCCACACUGGAACUGAGACACUGUCCAGACUCCUACGGGAGGCAGCAGUGGGGAAUAUUGGACAAUGGGCGCAAGCCUGAUCCAGCCAUACCGCGUGAGUGAAGAAGGCCUUCGGGUUGUAAAGCCCUUUUGUUGGGAAAGAAAAGCAGCAGGUGAAUACCCCGCUGUUCUGACGGUACCCAAAGAAUAAGCACCGGCUAACUUCGUG